rnacentral:rRNA from 1 species
CAAUAGCGUAUAUUUAAGUUGUUGCAGUUAAAAAGCUCGUAGUUGGAUUUCGGUUAAGGGCGACCGGUCCGCCGUUUGGUGUGCACUGGUUGGUUUUAACUUCCUGUAGAGGACGUGCUCUGGGUUUAACGACCUGGACUCGGAGUCUACGUGGUUACUUUGAAAAAAUUAGAGUGUUCAAAGCGGGCUUACGCUUGAAUAUUUCAGCAUGGAAUAACACUAUAGGACUCCUGUCCUAUUUCGUUGGUCUCGGGACGGGAGUAAUGAUUAAGAGGAACAGUUGGGGGCAUUCGUAUUUCAUUGUCAGAGGUGAAAUUCUUGGAUUUAUGAAAGACGAACUUCUGCGAAAGCAUUUGCCAAGGAUGUUUUCAUUAA